UGGGGAAUAUUGCACAAUGGGCGAAAGCCUGAUGCAGCAACGCCGCGUGCGGGAUGACGGCCUUCGGGUUGUAAACCGCUUUCAGCAGGGACGAAGGUUUUCUGACGGUACCUGCAGAAGAAGCACCGGCUAACUACGUGCCAGCAGCCGCGGUGAUACGUAGGGUGCGAGCGUUGUCCGGAAUUAUUGGGCGUAAAGAGCUUGUAGGCGGUCCGUUGCGUCGGAAGUGAAAACUCAGGGCUUAACCCUGAGCCUGCUUUCGAUACGGGCGGACUUGAGGGAUGUAGGGGAGAACGGAAUUCCUGGUGGAGCGGUGGAAUGCGCAGAUAUCAGGAGGAACACCAGUGGCGAAGGCGGUUCUCUGGACAUUUCCUGACGCUGAGAAGCGAAAGCNUGGGGAGCAAACAGGCUUAGAUACCCUGGUAGUCCACGCCGUAAACGGUGGGCACUAGGUGUGGGACCCAUUCCACGGGUUCCGUGCCGUAGCUAACGCAUUAAGUGCCCCGCCUGGGG
rnacentral:rRNA from 1 species